AUUGAACGCUGGCGGCAGGCCUAACACAUGCCAGUCGAGCGGAUGAAGGGAGCUUGCUCCUGGAUUCAGCGGCGGACGGGUGAGUAAUGCCUAGGAAUCUGCCUGGUAGUGGGGGAUAACGUCCGGAAACGGGCGCUAAUACCGCAUACGUCCUGAGGGAGAAAGUGGGGGAUCUUCGGACCUCACGCUAUCAGAUGAGCCUAGGUCGGAUUAGCUAGUUGGUGGGGUAAAGGCCUACCAAGGCGACGAUCCGUAACUGGUCUGAGAGGAUGAUCAGUCACACUGGAACUGAGACACGGUCCAGACUCCUACGAGAGGCAGCAGUGGGGAAUAUUGGACAAUGGGCGAAAGCCUGAUCCAGCCAUGCCGCGUGUGUGAAGAAGGUCUUCGGAUUGUAAAGCACUUUAAGUUGGGAGGAAGGGCAGUAAGUUAAUACCUUGCUGUUUUGACGUUACCAACAGAAUAAGCACCGGCUAACUUCGUG
rnacentral:rRNA from 1 species